GGGUUUUGCUUUUUUGGACCUUCCACAACGUGCCAGGUGGGGGAAUCUCAGUUUCUAGCCAACUACCUCGGUAAACUCCAAUUCAGGUUUCUUUCAGUCACGACCCGGCGUGCAGCCCGGCCCCGGCGGCACCGCGGGCAGGGUGUUGAGGACAGAGCCGAGGGACGAUGCGUGGAGCCCCCUCCCCAGCCACCACGCCUUACCAGCCUCUGGACUUGCCACUUCUCUGUUCGAGACUUUGGUCCCAGACCCAAAGCUAUGCUCUUGAUGGCAUAAAAACCUUCUUGCUUUUGAGUUGCCACCGCGGGCACCGUUUGGACUCGGAAGAGAAUUUGUUGUCCUCACCUUCGCUCUUCCCACCGACGCCUCCCAGCCCUGCACCUCCUGGACUCGUCUCAGCCCCAGCCGAGGAUGAACCUUGGAAGGCAGCACUGGGCCAAGCCUCUGCUCCCACCCCGUGCCCAGGGGAUGAGCAGGAGCAGGAGUCGUGGCCUUGUGCCCAGCGUGGGGACAUUGCUGCAGCUGGGACCUCCUGCGCUGUGCUGAGACCCCCGAACGCUGGGCAGGAGGCCAAGCUCCUCCUGGUUGACCAAACCUUUAACCUUCUCUUGACUCCAUUCAGUUUCCUUUGCCCAGCUCUUCCUGUACAUAAAUUUGAAGUUUAUUUUAGGGGUUUGGUUUGAUUAUUUUUUUUUUUCCCUCCUCCUUUUUUUUUUGGUUUGUUUUGGUAAAGAGGGAAAAAAAUUAAUUAAAAAAAGAAAAAAAGAGAAAAAGACAAAAAAAACAACAAAAAAAAGAGAAUUAUUUUUCUUUUCCUCAGUACACAUUCUGCAAAGUUCAAAUUAUAGUGUUUGUUAAAUAAAAAGAAAAGAUUUACAUUUAA